rnacentral:rRNA from 1 species
GGCGACCGGCGCACUGGUGAGUAACACGUAUGCAACCUGCCGCGCACUGGGGGAUAAUCUUGGGAAACCGAGUCUAAUACCCCGUAGGCCUUGUUGCCGCAUGGUAAUAAGGUAAGAGGAGUGAUCCGAUGCGCGAUGGGCAUGCGGCGCAUUAGCUAGUUGGCGGGGUAACAGCCCACCAAGGCGACGAUGCGUAGGGGUUCUGAGAGGAAGGUCCCCCACACUGGUACUGAGACACGGACCAGACUCCUACGGGAGGCAGCAGUGAGGAAUAUUGGUCAAUGGCGGAAGCCUGAACCAGCCAAGUCGCGUGCGGGAGGGAGGCCCUACGGGUCGUAAACCGCUUUUGAUGGGGGGUAACCAUGCGGACGAGUCCGCAUCUGAGAGUACCCAUCGAAUAAGCAUCGGCUAACUCCGUGCCAGCAGCCGCGGUAAUACGGAGGAUGCGAGCGUUAUCCGGAUUUAUUGGGUUUAAAGGGUGCGCAGGCGGCUAUUCAAGUCAGCGGUCAAAUUGCGGUGCUCAACGCCGUAUCGCCGUUGAAACUGAGUUGGCUAGAGUGAGAGUGAGGAAGGCGGCAAUGCGGCGGUGUAAGCGGGUGAACAUGCAUAGAUAUUGCGCAGAAACUCCGAUUGCGAAGGCAGCUUUCCAAUUCUCUACUGACGCUCAUGCACGAAAGCGUGGGUAUCGAACAGGAUUAGAUACCCCUGGUAGUCCACGCGGUAAACGAUGGUCACUAGCUGUGCGCCCUGAUUAAAGGGAGCGUGGCCGAGCGAAAGCGUUAAGUGACCCACCUGGGGAGUACGCCGGCAACGGUGAAACUCAAAGGAAUUGACGGGGGCCCGCACAAGCGGAGGAACAUGUGGUUUAAUUCGAUGAUACGCGAGGAACCUUACCCGGGCUCAAACGCUUGCGGGAGUCUAUUUGAAAGGAUAGAUGCCCUUCGGGCGCUGCAAGCGAGGUGCUGCAUGUUUGUCGUCAGCUCGUGCCGUGAGGUGUCGGCUUAAGUGCCAUAACGAGCGCAACCCCCAUCUUCAGUUGCCGUCGGGUAGAGCCGGGCACUCUGGAGAGACUGCCGGCGCAAGCUGUGAGGAAGGCGGGGAUGACGUCAAAUCAGCACGGCCCUUACGUCCGGGGCGACACACGUGUUACAAUGGCGGGGCACAGAGGGAAGCCAGGCGGUGACGUCGAGCGGAUCCCGAAAACCCGUCUCAGUUCGGAACGGAGUCUGCAACUCGACUCCGUGAAGCUGGAUUCGCUAGUAAUCGCGCAUCAGCCAUGGCGCGGUGAAUACGUUCCCGGGCCUUGUACACACCGCCCGUCAAGCCAUGGAAGCCUGGAGUGCCUAAAGUCCGUGACCGAAAGGAGCGGCGCAAGGUAAGAC